rnacentral:rRNA from 1 species
GUGUCAGCCGCCGCGGUAAUACGGAGGGUGCAAGCGUUAUCCGGAUUCACUGGGUUUAAAGGGUGCGUAGGCGGACAGGUAAGUCAGUGGUGAAAUCUCUGGGCUUAACUCAGAAACUGCCGUUGAUACUAUCUGUCUUGAAUAUCCUGGAGGUAAGCGGAAUAUGUCAUGUAGCGGUGAAAUGCUUAGAUAUGACAUAGAACACCGAUAGCGAAGGCAGCUUACUACAGGAUGAUUGACGCUGAGGCACGAAAGCGUGGGGAGCAAACAGGAUUAGAAACCCGUGUAGUCC